GGGGAUGUAACUCAGUGGCAGAGCCCUUGCUUAGUAUGCAUGAAGUCCUGGGUUCAACUCCUGUACCCCCU
rnacentral:tRNA from 1 species